UGGGAUGUAGUUCAGCUGGUAUAGUGCUUGCCUAGCAUGCAUGAGGCCCUGGGUUCAGUGCCCAGGAUCUCAA
rnacentral:tRNA from 2 species